rnacentral:rRNA from 1 species
GGUCAAGCUACAAAGGGCGCAUGGCGAAUGCCUUGGCACUAGGAGCCGAAGAAGGACGCGUUAAGCUGCGAUAAGCUUUGGGUAGGCGCAAAUAGCCUGUGAUCCAAAGAUUUCCGAAUGGGGGAACCCACAUAGUAACAACUAUGUACUGCAUACUGAAUAAAUAGGUAUGCAGAGGUAGACCCGGGGAACUGAAACAUCUAAGUACCCGGAGGAAGAGAAAGAAACAUCGAUUUCCUAAGUAGCGGCGAGCGAAAGGGAAAGAGCC